AAUGAACGUUGGCGGCGUGGAUUAGGCAUGCAAGUCGCGCGAUAAGCUCCCGCAAGGGAGUGGAAAGCGGCGAAAGGGACAGUAAUGCGUAGAUAACCUACCCCCGGGACCGGGAUAGCUGCGGGAAACUGCAAUUAAUACCGGAUAACGUCUCCGGACCAAAUGGUGUGAUUCCGCCAGGGGAUGGGUCUGCGUCCUAUUAGCUAGUUGGUGUGGUAACGGCACACCAAGGCAAAGAUGGGUAGCAGGUGUGAGAGCACGACCUGCGUCACUGGGACUGAGACACUGCCCAGACACCUACGGGUGGCAG
rnacentral:rRNA from 1 species